GUCUACGGCUAUACCACCCUGAACACGCCUGAUCUCAUCUGAUCUCAGAAGCUAAGGACCCCAGGUCUAGCCCCAGUUCCCAUCUUGAGCGGUGAAGCAGUAUUGUAGGUC
ensembl:rRNA 5S_rRNA 5S ribosomal RNA